CUUUAGCAUAUAAUGAUAUAUUCUUACGCUCGAUAACAUUCUUUGAAUGCAGUUCUAAGUUCAAAGUUUGAUUGAUGAUAUCAUGGCUGCAUAAUAUGAUGGAUUGCAGAAUGUUGCAAAUAGACAAUAUUAAAUAUAGGAGACAAUCAACAGCCUACUAUAGUAAGGCAAUAAUAGCAGACUGAUCAUGGAUUUUUGUAGAUGGACAUUUCAAAUGGAAACUGUACAGUUAACAUGUGUUUCAUAGAACUAACUGAGAGCAUGUUUCGCUCGCUAAUCUGGUUUAAAUAAAUUAUUA